UCAGGGCUGACAGCAUCACUAGCCAUUGUUCUUUUCCUAGAUUUUUUUUUAAUUAUUUUUUUUUAACAAUGUCUUCGGCGGGCGAUGCAUUCAUUCAGCACAGGCUUCGAGCACUGGGAGUGUCCCACGGCUGCUGCUGAUAGAGAAGAUCAAAGCGAGGCUUAUCUGGAUCACCCCCAAGACUGGAUCUUCGGAUUUCCUCUCCACUUUGGGAGCUUUCUUACAGGUGACCAGGAGACCUCUUAAACAUAAGUGACAUAAGGAUCCUGGUCUCCUUCCAUCGUUAACUUUGAGGCAACAUCUUACUAAGUUACCCAUGCUGACCUUGAAUGCACUCUGGAGACCAAGCAGGCCUUGGACUCAAGGACUGCUGCUUCUUCUGAAACACACGUGGAGGUGAGGUGUAGCCAUAACUCUAACUGCGAAGCUGUGGACUGUUUCCCAUCCCAACCUCGAUCAACUUUUCCUCAUAAUCUCUUGUCCCAGAGUAGAUGCAUCCAUCCUUUCAUAAAAUAAUUUACUAGGAGAGGAGAAUAAAAUGAACAGAAUUGCCUUAGACUAAUCAAGAUUUAUUUACUGGCAUUGGGGACAAGGUUGCUCUUUCCUUGUAAUAUGCCUCUGCAAUGGAAUGCAGGGAAUUGAAGUAAGACUGGGGCUUGUACUACAAAUACAUUUUAACUGUGUAAGGCGGGGGAGAUAAUUGAGUUGAUAGAAUGCUUACUAGACACACAUGAGGUCCAGCACCAGUGGAAAAGAAAUGUACUUCAUCCUUACAUUAGCACUAAUGGCAGAGGUGGAAUCCCCAGGGCUUUCUACCUAGCCGUUCUAGCCAAUUGGUGUGCUCUGGGCUCAG